rnacentral:lncRNA from 1 species
UCAGUCAUUGAGAUGUUUCAUACCCAGUAGAAUCUGGGGUGGAUAUUUGCUUUUGUGAAUGGCCUUCACAUUAGGAAGUGCAUUUAGGAAAAUCGGGUAUUGCAUUUUCAUGGUUAUUUGAGCUCAAAGAUUUUAUUCCUUUAUUGGCCAGAUCAUUUGGUACAAAGAUCAACUAGAAAGAAAGUUUCAUGUAUUGAGUUUUUGGGAAGGGCUGUUUUAAAUACUGUUAAGACGACUGAUUUAUCUUUCUUUACUUAGUAGGGGGAGGUAGGAGGGGCAUACCAGAAUUCAGAAGUGCGACCACCAUAACCACUUCACUUUUCAAUUUAUUUUUCAGUUCUAGGAUAUAUAAGCAGACAAGGAGGGUCUCUAGGAACCAUAGGAGUUUAAUCCACGUGAGCCAUCAGCCUGAUUUACAGCUUCCUGCCCUGCAGCCUGUUCUUCCCUAAACCCUGGGUGGACUAUAGUAACCUAGUUGGUUGAAACCAGCUCCUGACAGACCCUGGCAACUUAGAGAUGAACCCUGGUGAAUCUUCCUCAUGACUGUAACGUCUCCAUCCUGGAGGAACUGUAGUUCCGUUAUCAUAACAUGUAACCCAUGUGUUGCCAUGAUGACACUGUGUCUGCACCGCUGGGACCCCUCAUCUACAUGCGAUAAUGCACCCUCUCCCCUCUCCAUCACCCCAUAAAACCCUCCUGCCACUUUCCCUCAGGGAGACACUGCUUUGGAGAAUACACCCAGUGCUCCCCUUACUUGAGCCAAGUAAUAAAACUCCUAUUGAUCAAAAUCUGCAUUCUCGUGGAGAGUCGUUUGUUGCUUGACAGGUGAAUGAACGCUGUUUGUUUUUUUCGGAUAACAAAUAUGAGGUAUUAAACAAACAAACAAAAAACCCCAGACUUGAAGCUUUCCCAUAAUAACAACAAAGAGUUUGAGUAAGAAUUCCACAGCUUGCCUUCAUCUGUGGCAGACUUGCAUGAAUCAUUUUCAAAUAAAGAUAAUAACUCAGUUGGUCUUGUAGUCCAAACAAAAUGUGCUACUUCAGGAACAUUCACUUCCUAUGUGGACUUUGCUGCUGAGUCAGUGUGAGACCUUGAACAAGUCUCUGUUUGUUUCGUACCAUUCAGAUUUCCUCGUCUGUAAACAUUAAGUAUCUACAUUCACUAAAAGUAGUUCUGAAUGAAUGUUAUUUAAUGGUGCCAAUGAUGUUGGAGGAUACCUGUGCAUCUCAUGCUGUGGUUACAGCAUCAAUUGUGAUGAAUAUAGGAUACUGAGUCCCUCCUAGAAAUGACUUCAGGAACUUCACCCCCCAACUCCACAAUCUGGGAAUGGCAGACAGAUUCAGCACCAGGAGAACAUCACAUAAAGGACAAGUGUGUAUGUUUAAAAAUGGCAAGUUUCGGCCUGGCAUGGUGGCUCACGUCUAUAAUCCCAGCACUUUGGGAGGCUGAGUCUAAGUGUACAGUGCUUGUAAAGUCUGCAGUAGCAUACAGUAAUGUCCAAGGCUUUCACAUCCACUCACCACUCGCUCACUGACCCAGCCAGAGCAACUUCCAGUCCUGAAAGCUGCAUUCAUGACUCAAUCACCACAAUUGCAAUCAAAAGACGGCUUUAGUUGGAACCUGGAACGUGCUAAUCCUGUCAGGCAGCCUGUGAUUCUGGAAGUGAAGGAACAAAAAAAAAAAAAAAAAGGGAAAAUUUCACAUAAAAUUUCCAUAUGAGGAAGAAGAUGGAAACUUUUGUGUUGUGCGUUCAGUAAAACGGGCACUUUCUUAAGCAGGUGGCAAAGAAAGCCUGAGAAUCCGGCCUGACUUUUUCAUUUCAGAACCCUGCAUUUCCCACACAGAGGAGAUAGAGCACAGCCAUUGCAUGGUAGAUCCAGCUUGCUCUCACAGCCAUUGUGCAAAUAAACAUACAUGUGGCAAGGCAGUGCAGUUUUCAGUUGUUAAAAGUUCUGUCAUGCCACGAGAUGGAGCAAAGGAUAAACGCUGAUGUAAACAGGCAACAGGACUCUGACUCCACACCCCUGUCUGCACGGAGGAUGCUCAGUCCUUACACAACAAAAUGUGAGAUGCUUCCAGUCACCUCCUGGCCCUGACCCCUGAGCUCCGUGCUCACCCCACUGGAGGUCCUGGCAGUUCUCCGAGCAGGCUGUACCUGUCUGGGGUGAUCCUCUCCACUUAAUGUUAGACAUUAAGUUCCCUGUGAAAUCUGUUUUGACUCACUGAGGUUAUGAAUAUUUUAUCACAACUAUCAUCAUAUACUACCAAAUCUCCAAUUUUCUUAUCUCCAUUACUAGACUGUGAGCUCCCUGGAGGCUGGACCUGGGUUUGGCACCGAGUGGCACUCAUACAUACUUCUUGAAUAAGAGAAUGGCUUAGAUGCCUGCUGUGCUCACUCCUGCCGAGAGGCACGGCCACCAUCUGCAGCUCCUGGCUGCACUUUCUAAACAGCUGCCUGGGUCAGUUCUUUUGACUAAGAUAUAGCCGAGUUGUACAGUUUACAAAUGAAUGGAAAAUCAUCACCCUACCAAGUCUUAAAUGGUUAUGACUCCAUCACUCAAGAAACUUCAGGAAUCAACAUUUGGUGAUCUGAAAUACACUGAAGCGUCCACGUAGUGAUGUUUGUGUGUUAGAUUCUGCUCCAUUUUCCAAUGUCUUCCCCCAUUUUCAGUCAACUCUUCAUCUCUGCAGUGGUGGCUUUAAAACAUGUCUACAAAUGCCUUGACCGUCUUUCCAGUGGGAGGCAGAGUCUAACUCCCUGUCCCCCGAAUGUGGGCUGGCCUUUGGGAAGAAAAGAAUAAGGUUGAAGUGAUGCUGCCCAACUUCUAAACCCAGUUCCUAAAAGAAAACAGCAUUAAAACAAUCUGAUAUUAUGGCCGUCAAAAUGCUUAUCCAGGCAUUCUGCAAAAAGUGAAAAUGUCUAUAUACUUGUGGCCAAGAAAGAAAAGAAAACUAUCAGUUUCUGGCUGCUUGAGCAUAAAUCUGAAGUCACUGUGUAUCUAUGUAAACGUAAAAGCAAAAGAGGAGAUGUGUCAGACUCCGUGGCACCAGGCUGAUCACAGAAUAAAGUGAAGAAAUUCCCCCUGCACAGCUGAUGGUGCCUGUUGCUGAGACAAAUACAGAGA